UGGAAGGUGGGAUCGCGGCGAGGAGCGCGACGGAGAAGAGGAGGAUGGCGAUUGCAGGGGGCAUUUUCGUCAUUGUGUGGUUGAGACUUGAGAGACAGAGAGGCGUGUGGGAUCGGGAUCGAAUAACCGUCGGCGAGUCUUGAUUUUUCGAGUUAUAUAGUCUCUUCAGUUAUCUCAGAUCUGACACAAAUGCAUGCGUCAUUUUAGUUUUUACACUUAUUAUACUACAACUUAA
rnacentral:lncRNA from 1 species